rnacentral:rRNA from 1 species
AUUGAACGCUGGCGGCAGGCCUAACACAUGCAAGUCGAACGAGUGGCGGACGGGUGAGUAAUGUCUGGGAAACUGGCCGAUGGAGGGGGAUAACUACUGGAAACGGUAGCUAAUACCGCAUACCAUCGGAUGUGCCCAGAUGGGUUUAGCUUGUGGGUGAGGUAACGGCUCACCUAGGCGCCGAUCCCUAGCUGGUCUGGGAGGAUGACCAGCCACACUGGGCAUGAGACACGGUCCAGACUCCUACGGGAGGCAGCAGUGGGGAAUAUUGCACAAUGGGGGAAAGCCUGAUACAGCCAUGCCGCGUGUAUGAAGAAGGCCUUCGGGUUGUAAAGUACUUUCAGCAGGGAGGCGUUACCCGCAGGAGAAGCACCGGCUAACUCCGUGCCAGCAGCCGCGGUAAUAC